UCCAGUUCCCCUUUCUCUCUCUAAACUCAUCUCCAUUUUCUCCUUCUUGCUCUGUCUUCUCUCUACCCUUGCACUCAUUUGAACCGUUGAAAUUUCAAAUAGGUGGUGUUCUUUCGCUCACGGAGUUGAGAGCUUCCCUUCUAUCCGAUUAUAUUUCUAUUUGGACGGGUGAUUGUAGGGCACUGUUUGGGUUUUCUCUGUGAAGACACAUUUAGGGCACUCUAGUUGACUAUACUACUCAACCUCAAGAAAGUAUAUGAUUACAAAGUGAUGAAAGUAUGAUCCAAGUUGUAAAUCAAGUUCCAUCUAUGUAGGAUCUCUUGGUGAGAUCCUUAGUGUAGAAUGAUUGCAUGGUAGCUCAGUUUUGGGGGUUUUCUUGACGCUCCAAUGGUCUUUCAUUCUCAAGUAGAGAGGAUUGAUCCAUGUGGUGAGGAGUAGCAGGAGGUCCUAGUCUUGGAGGCUUCCAACAUGCUCCAGGGCGCGGAACGGAUUAACCUCGUGAGUGUGGUAGGGUGGAACCCAUUGGCAACGGCUUUGCAAAGCAGUAGAGGCCAUCACGAGUGCAUAACCCGCCAUAGCUCGACAAUCAUUCUGGUCCGGACGAGUUGGUCUAUAAAACAAUGAGUCUUAUGAUGUCAAUGUAUCAUGUUUGAGUGGCUUUUACAUGUCGUGUGUGAUUGAAUAACAUGAUUUUUAUAUCUAGCUCACCCUUGCUUGUUUGUAUUGCUUGUGUAUGUUUCUUCUUGCGAUAAUCAUCCAUUUGGAUGGGAGCAGAUGACGAGAAGGUUCCAUUGGAGAUGGCUUUGGAUGUUGAGGACAAUGCUACCGCCUAGUCUCUGGUGGUGUUAUUAGUUAUUCCUGAAAUUUGGGAUAUUGUUUUUCCUUCCAACUUAUAUUUAGAUUUUUUUGGAGUUUAAGUUUAAAUUCUGAAGCUAUUUUUAGGAUGACUGUAAUCCUAUUUACUCUUAACUGCUUUACUAUAUUACGCAUGAUAACGUCCUUAAUAUAUAUGCAUUGGGA